rnacentral:rRNA from 1 species
UUGGAGGGCAAGUCUGGUGCCAGCAGCCGCGGUAAUUCCAGCUCCAAUAGCGUAUAUUAAAGUUGUUGCAGUUAAAAAGCUCGUAGUUGAAUUUCGGGAUUAGUGCGCCGGUCGUGCCUUCGGUAUGUACUGGUGUUACUGGUUCCUACCUUCUGACGAACCGUCAUGUCAUUAAUUUGGUGUGGCGGGGAAUCAGGACUGUUACUUUGAAAAAAUUAGAGUGUUUAAAGCAGGCUCGCGCUUGAAUACAUUAGCAUGGAAUAAUGAAAUAGGACGUUCGAUCCUAUUUUGUUGGUUUCUAGGAUUGACGUAAUGAUUAAUAGGGAUAGUUGGGGGCAUUAGUAUUCAAUUGUCAGAGGUGAAAUUCUUGGAUUUAUUGAAGACUAACUACUGCGAAAGUAUUUGCCAAGGAUGUUUUCAUUAAUCAAGAACGAAAGUUAGGGGAUCGAAGACGAUCAGAUACCGUCGUAGUCUUAACCAUAAACUAUGCCGACUAGGGAUCGGAUGAUGUUAUUUUUAAUGACUCAUUCGGCGCCUUACGGGAAA